CCGAUACUUUUUCCACCGCUGUACUAAAAUUUGGUUUUGGUACCAAACUGUGAAUGACUUGUAUUCUGUCUGGAUAUUACUAAAUUUCAAACAUUAGGAUAAUGCUAAAUGUCUGUGGUGGUUUUCCAAUAGCUUUGAAUACUAUGAGUGCCUUCUUGAAAAUAACCACUAUUUAAUUUCUAACUUGGUGGUCUAGUUGUUGACUGUUGAGUCUCCUGUUAUUAUUUAUAACAAUGAGAGACAUGUACUGUAUACUUACUGUGAUGGUUCAGAGAUGCCAAACUUUACGGUAGCCAGUAUCCAGAAGUGGGAUACUAGGUUCUCAGUUGGAAUACUAGAACUUUUAAUCCUGGUUUCCCAGUGGGGUACUGCAAAAAAAUUAAUUUCAGAUCCUGCUGGAGCAAGUUUAGUUUUCACGGAAAUAUCCUGUAUUUCAUUUCCCCUUCAAUAUCUCUUAUUAAAUACAGGUAAAACGUUUUCAGCUAGUUAGUUGCUGUGGCGCAUGCGGGCAGCGACGAUACUGAGCUUCCGCCUGAGAUUCGUGGUGAAUUUCCAGAUUAGAGGUUUGCAUCGGACCGGAUAUAAACUUUAUAAAUAAAAGAUAAUGUAAAACGUAAUAAAACGGCGAACAUGAAGAUUUGGCCAUCUCAAAUAAUGGUAAGUUGCGAUGGUAGCGUUGCAGACUGCAGAGGAGAGUGGGCAGCAAGGCUCCCUCAUGCACCACUCCAUGGAAAACCUGCACCCCUUCUUGCAGAUGAGGCUAGACCAGCCGCUCGGCUGGUCGUAAUGUAAGAUUCUUGUCCUGUUCACCAUACCUGUCUUCCUUUUCUAUAAUUUGAAUUUUUAUAAUGUAUUCGUUACCCGAUCAUCCAGUACCACCGAGCUGUUGUUCCGUCGACAAAAAUGCAGAACUACCACUUUCCAAAAAUCUUAUUUUACCAGAGCCACAAGAGUUUGGAACUGUCUUCCAACAAACUUAAGACAGCCAAAUAUGUCGUUAAGUAGGCUACAUUUAAGAGAUUGCUGCGGAACUACUAUUUGGAAGCCCUGCAUAGUUGUACGUGGAAAUCUGUGUGUUUAAUCUGUAACUCUUGUCGUAGUUUGAACGGUGUUGUAAAUUGUUGUUUCUAGUUAUUAUAUGUUAAAAGGGCCCACAGUAAUUGGUUUUAACUGUUGUGGUGUCCCAGCCAUCUGCUGCUUACAAUAUUAUUGCA